CAAAACUUUCCUUCUUUCCCUCCUCCCUCCCUCCCUCCACCCCACCGACAGCCACCCACCUGCUGAGCACCGUCGACCACCAGCUACCACCGCCACCGAACCCCGUUUCGUCCAUUUCCGGCCUCCAUCCACCGUCAAGCUCCGAAGACCGAACGUAUAGCUCCAACGAUCCAUCGACCGUUCCGCCACGACGAUCCCAGCCGAGCUACCACCACCGCCGACGAGCCAAGCCGAAUCACCACCACAGUAGAGGACUCCGACGACCCAUCCAUCUUAAGUUGCUUGAUCCGCCACGGCGCCACCCACAAGCACCGCCGACCACCGCCACCAGCGACGUCCAUCUCCAUCGCCGCUACAAGAACCGUUUUCCACCAGCGACGUCCAUCUCCAUCGCCGCUACAAGCACCGUCCUCUGUUGUUUUUGUUGAGUUGUUUUUUAGUUUCAAUUUGAAUUGGGUUUUUUUUUUUUCUUUUUUCCGUCUUUCUAUAGUAUCUGUCUCAUUCUGCAUGUAUUUGGGCUUUUUCAGUGAAAUAGUUUUGUCAGUCCGUUUGUGUUUAAUUCAUAUUUAAUUCACAUUCCUAUAAACGAAUGUAUGUUUAAUUCAUAUUUUGCUGUUCUGUGGGAAUUUUUUUUGAUGUAAUUUUGUUCCUAAAGUGGUCUGUAUUGAGGUGGGUUUGUAAAUUUUCAUGUAA